CUGACGCUGCAUCCGCUGACGACGUUACCCGCCACUGCCAGAUCUUACCGGAAGUAAACAAUCAAGAGUCUAAUGUCAGAGACCAAUAACAUCGACACGUAAGAUUUAAGACAUAGAAACAGACACAGAUGAUCCAGGUGUUGAGGGAGCACAGGGAGUGGAGAGCGUCAGGGGGAGAAAGCCAGGGGACUUGACAGAUGACAGUGAGGACACAGAGAAGGAAGAUGAUGCAGAUGAAGGUCCAGAGAGUGAGACACAAGAGGACACAGGUGCAUCCACAAGCACUGGACCAUCAGCCACCGAUGCAGCCCAACAUGACCUUGUUUCCACGGACCUUGACGGGGGACAGGAGAAGGCGCUUCAAGGCCUCCUGGUACAGGAUACACCCCUGGCUUGAGUACUCCAAACAAUCAGACCGGCAUAUUGUUACGCCUGUAGACAUUUUAGCGCCCCUAAUAGCACAGACUCAGUUUUUGACUCACCAUCCGGAUUCAAAAACUGGAAGAAAGCAACCUACAGAGAGGGGGGAUUUUGCAAUCCAUGCCAAGUCUGAGAGGCAUAAACAUCCAAUGAUUACAUAGAGAAAGAGAUCUGUAGCAAAAAUUCAACAUUGCCAAAUGUCCUAAACAAGGAACAUAACAGACUGGUUACAGAAAAUCAGGAAUACAUAAAAACCAUAGGGAAGUGCUACUACUUACUGCCACACAAAACAUUACUCAAAGAGGACAUGAUGAGUCUGCAGUCUCAGAUAAUAAAGGGAACUUCAGGGCAAUUCUAGAGACAAUUGCUAACCAUGACAAAACUGUUAAAAAAAGACUAACUUCCAUUCGUAAUGCGAAGUACACGAGCAAAAUCAUUCAGGAUGAGGUUCUGGAUUGUUUGGCAGAAAUGGUUCGAACUGAAAUUACAGAAGAAGUGAACAAAGUGAAGUCUUCAGCAUCAUGACAGAUGAGACGAAAGAAAAAAGAACAGAUUUCUCUAGUUCUAUGGUACUACUUCAAUGGAGCUAUUAAGGAGAGUUUUCUUCAUUUUGAAUCUGCCGAGAAGCUAGAUGCAGCGGGGCUUACUGAAAAAUAAUCCACAUUUUGUGAUGUUCAUGGUCUAGAAUAUAAAAACAAGCUUGUAGGCCAAGCAUAUGACGGUGCUGCAGUCAUGAGUGGUAAGCGUACCGGGGUCCAAGCUAGAAUCAAAGAGCAAGCAAAAUAUGCCUUUUACAUCCAUUGCAAUGCCCACUGUCUAAACUUAGUUUUAGUGGAUACAGUCAAAGCUGUCCCAGCAGCAGAGGAGUUCUUCUCCUUACCAGAAAAACUAUAUGUGUUCACAUCUGGCUCACGUCCAUCCUAAAUGGCUAACUAUACAAAAAGAGAUGUACGAAGGUGCACCAAGAGAUCUACCACGAUUGAGUGACACUCGAUGGCAUGUCGAUUUGUAGCUCUACGUAACAUCAUGGAUAGAUUGCCUGCCCUUAAGCGAGUAGUGCAAGAGAUAGCCCAAGAACACAAAGGUGAAAGAUCUGUUGAGGCUCGAGGUCUGCUGGCACAGAUAGAUCUUGAAUUCAUUGUGCAUUUUGUUACACUCCGUAAAGUGUUUGGAGAAACAAAACUUCUCUCUGAUAUGCUACAGUGUUCAUCACUUGACAUUUCAAAAGCUGUUGAUUUAGUUGAAGCUUUGGUUCAGACAUUGAAUGACUUUAGGCAGGAGUCAUUUUUUAAUAACUUGUGGGAUGAUGUGUUGAACAUUUCUGAGCGAUGUGAUACUGCAACAGACACACAGCCACAGUCAGCAGCCAACACAGCCAGCUGCCAAACGACAAAAAAGCUCCAAACUCAAUGAACACUGUGUACUGAGUACUGUUGGUCAGAGAGCAUCAGAACCAGAUAAAAACAGGUUUCGUACAGCCUUUUUCUACCCCGUCAUUGAUAAGAAGGUUUUCAAAGACUAACUGUCAAUUAAUAAAUAGCAUCCAAGCUCUAAACCCCAAAAGUGAUGCAUUCCUGCAAGAUACAGCUCUAUUUGCAUUUGCAUUUGCUCGAUGAUUCAAACAUUGAUGACUUGGGGCAUGAACUACAUCAAUUCAGACGAAUUCUAGAAAGGAAAAUACAGUCUGGAAUGCAGAGACCCUCUAGUACAGUAGAGCUAGUGCUGUUCAUUGAGCCCUAUAAAGAAGUGUUUUUUUAGCUUUUCAGACUCUGCAAAAUUGCAGUCGCCAGCCCAGUGAGUACUGCUUCUUGUGAGCGUAGUUUUUCUACGCUGAAACUGGUGAAAACUUACCUCAGGUCCACCAUAACGGAUGAGAGAUUGAGCAAUCUGGGUGUAUUAAUAUUGAGUCUACAAGGGCAAAGGUUUUGAAUCUUGAUUUAUUUAUUGAUCGGUUUGCCAAAAAUCACAAAAACCGCAGAAUACAGUUGCUUUAAUGUGAAAUUCUAGAGACACUAGUAAAGUAGAGCUUAAUUCAUUGUUCAUUGAUCACUACAAAGAUGUGUUGCAGCAAAGAAUAUCCUAACAGGGAUAUUUUAUUAUUUUCAAUAUUGUAAUUUGUAAACUCUUAACAUGUUUUUUUGUACUGUAUAUUAUUUAUGUGAAUCUUAAUCUGCAAAGUAACUGUAACUAGUUGUAAAAAAAAAGAAAGUGUAAUAUUUCCCUUUGAAAAGUAGGAAUGUAAUGCAGUAUUAAAUACUAUUACGGAAACACCGAAACAAAUACCAAUCAUGGUAUUUUAUGUUGUCCGCUAUCUUUUGUUAAGAUGCCAUUAAACAUUAUUAAAGCAUGAA